rnacentral:rRNA from 1 species
AGUGAACGCUGGCGGUAGGCCUAACACAUGCAAGUCGAACGGCAGCACAGGAGAGCUUGCUCCCUGGGUGGCGAGUGGCGGACGGGUGAGGAAUACAUCGGGAUCUACUUUUUCGUGGGGGAUAACGUAGGGAAACUUACGCUAAUACCGCAUACGACCUACGGGUGAAAGCAGGGGACCUUCGGACCUUGCGCGAUUGAAUGAGCCGAUGUCGGAUUAGCUAGUUGGCGGGGUAAAGGCCCACCAAGGCGACGAUCCGUAGCUGGUCUGAGAGGAUGAUCAGCCACACUGGAACUGAGACACGGUCCAGACUCCUACGGGAGGCAGCAGUGGGGAAUAUUGGACAAUGGGCGCAAGCCUGAUCCAGCCAUACCGCGUGGGUGAAGAAGGCCUUCGGGUUGUAAAGCCCUUUUGUUGGGAAAGAAAUCCAGCUGGCUAAUACCCGGUUGGGAUGACGGUACCCAAAGAAUAAGCACCGGCUAACUUCGUGCCAGCAGCCGCCGUAA